GAUGAACGCUAGCGAUAGGCCUAACACAUGCAAGUCGAGGGGCCGCACAUGAGUAGCAAUACGAUGGUGGCGACCGGCGCACGGGUGAGUAACGCGUAUGCAACCUACCUGUUACAGGGGAAUAACCCGGAGAAAUCCGGACUAAUACCGGAUAACACUACGAUAUCGCAUGGUACUGUAGUUAAAGAUUUAUUGGUAACAGAUGGGCAUGCGUGACAUAAGCUGGUUGGGGAGGUAACGGAUCACCAAGGCAACGAUGUCUAUGGGUUCGGGGAGGAAGGUCCCCCACCAUGGUAGUGAGACACGGACCAGACUCCUACGGGAGGCAGCAGUGAGGAAUAUUGGUCAAUGGGCGAGAGCCUGAACCAGCCAAAUCGCGUGCAGGAUGACUGCCUUAUGGGUUGUAAACUGCUUUUGUAAAGGAAUAACAACUCCUACGUGUAGGAGGAUGAAUGUACUUUAAGAAUAAGGAUCGGCUAACUCCGUGCCAGCCGCCGCGGUAACAC
rnacentral:rRNA from 1 species